UAAAACUCAAAGAAAUNGNCGGGGGCCCGCACAAGCGGCGGAGCAUGCGGAUUAAUUCGAUGCAACGCGAAGAACCUUACCAAGGCUUGACAUAUACUGGACUGCGUCAGAGAUGGCGUUUCCCUUCGGGGCUGGUAUACAGGUGGUGCAUGGUUGUCGUCAGCUCGUGUCGUGAGAUGUUGGGUUAAGUCCCGCAACGAGCGCAACCCUCGUUCUAUGUUGCCAGCACGUGAUGGUGGGGACUCAUAGGAGACUGCCGGGGUCAACUCGGAGGAAGGUGGGGAUGACGUCAAAUCAUCAUGCCCCUUAUGUCUUGGGCUUCACGCAUGCUACAAUGGCCGGUACAGAGGGUUGCGAUACUGUGAGGUGGAGCUAAUCCCUAAAAGCCGGUCUCAGUUCGGAUUGGGGUCUGCAACUCGACCCCAUGAAGUCGGAGUCGCUAGUAAUCGCAGAUCAGCAACGCUGCGGUGAAUACGUUCCCGGGCCUUGUACACACCGCCCGUCAAGUCACGAAAGUUGGUAACACCCGAA
rnacentral:rRNA from 1 species